AUUGAACGCUGGCGGCAGGCCUAACACAUGCAGGUCGAACGGUAACAGGAAACAGCUUGCUGUUUCGCUGACGAGUGGCGGACGGGUGAGUAAUGUCUGGGAAACUGCCUGAUGGAGGGGGAUAACUACUGGAAACGGUAGCUAAUACCGCAUAACGUCGCAAGACCAAAGAGGGGGACCUUCGGGCCUCUUGCCAUCGGAUGUGCCCAGAUGGGAUUAGCUAGUAGGUGGGGUAACGGCUCACCUAGGCGACGAUCCCUAGCUGGUCUGAGAGGAUGACCAGCCACACUGGAACUGAGACACGGUCCAGACUCCUACGGGAGGCAGCAGUGGGGAAUAUUGCACAAUGGGCGCAAGCCUGAUGCAGCCAUGCCGCGUGUAUGAAGAAGGCCUUCGGGUUGUAAAGUACUUUCAGCGGGGAGGAAGGGAGUAAAGUUAAUACCUUUGCUCAUUGACGUUACCCGCAGAAGAAGCACCGGCUAACUCCGUG
rnacentral:rRNA from 1 species